UACGUAGGGGGCAAGCGUUGUCCGGAAUCAUUGGGCGUAAAGCGCGCGUAGGCGGCCUCGUAAGUCCGUUGUGAAAGUCAAAGGCUCAACCUUUGAAAGCCGAUGGAUACUGUGAGGCUAGAGUCCGGAAGAGGCGAGUGGAAUUCCUGGUGUAGCGGUGGAAUGCGCAGAUAUCAGGAGGAACACCAGUGGCGAAGGCGGCGACCUGGGCAGAUACUGACGCUGAGACGCGAAAGCGUGGGGAGCGAACAGG
rnacentral:rRNA from 1 species